rnacentral:rRNA from 1 species
UCGAUCGGGUAGUAGGUAAGCGAUGGGGUGACGCAGGAAGGUAGUCCAGCCCAGGCGAUGGUUGUCCUGGGGUAAGCAUGUAGGGCGGAACGUAGGUAAAUCCGCGUUCUAUUCAGCCUGAGAUGUGAUGCCGAGCCGAUUGUGGUGAAGUGGAUGAUCCUAUGCUGCCGAGAAAAGCCUCUAGUGAGUGUUGUGGCGGCCCGUACCCUAAACCGUCUCAGGUGGUCAGGUAGAGAAUACCAAGGCGAUCGGGUGAACUGUGGUUAAGGAACUCGGCAAAUUGCCCCCGUAACUUCGGGAGAAGGGGGACCUCUGCUGGUGAUGGGCUUUACGUUCUGAGCUGGUGGGGGUCGCAGUGGCCAGGGGGAAGCGACUGUUUACUAAAAACACAGGUCCGUGCGAAGUCGUAAGACGAUGUAUACGGACUGACGCCUGCCCGGUGCCGGAACGUUAAGGGGACCGCUUAGCCAGCUUCGGUUGGCGAAGGUGAGAACUUAAGCGCCGGUAAACGGCGGUGGUAACUAUAACCAUCCUAAGGUAGCGAAAUUCCUUGUCGGGUAAGUUCCGACCUGCACGAAUGGCGUAACGACUUCCCCGCUGUCUCAACCACAGACCCGGCGAAAUUGCACUACGAGUAAAGAUGCUCGUUUCGCGCAGCAGGACGGAAAGACCCCGGGACCUUCACUACAGCUUGACAUUGGCGUUUGGAACGUCUUGUGUAGGAUAGGUGGUAGACUGGGAAGCUGUCACGCUAGUGAUGGUGGAGUCAUUGGUGAAAUACCACUCUGGUCGUUUUGAACGUCUAACUCUGGUCCGUGAUCCGGAUCGGGGACAGUGUCUGGUGGGUAGUUUAACUGGGGCGGUUGCCUCCUAAAGAGUAACGGAGGCGCCCAAAGGUUCCCUCAGCCUGGUUGGCAAUCAGGUGUUGAGUGUAAGUGCACAAGGGAGCUUGACUGUGAGACUGACAGGUCGAGCAGGAGCGAAAGCUGGGACUAGUGAUCCGGCAUCGGCGUGUGGAAGCGGUGUCGCUCAACGGCUAAAAGGUACCCCGGGGAUAACAGGCUGAUCCUCCCCAAGAGUCCAUAUCGACGGGAUGGUUUGGCACCUCGAUGUCGGCUCGUCGCAUCCUGGGGCUGGAGUAAGUCCCAAGGGUUGGGCUGUUCGCCCAUUAAAGCGGUACGCGAGCUGGGUUUAGAACGUCGCGAGACAGUUCGGUCCCUAUCCGCUGCGCGCGCAGGAGACUUGAAGGGGGCUGUCUCUAGUACGAGAGGACCGGGACGGACGAACCUCUGGUGUGCCAGUUGUACCGCCAGGUGCACGGCUGGUUGGCUACGUUCGGAAGGGAUAACCGCUGAAAGCAUCUAAGCGGGAAGCUCGCCUUGAGAUGAGGUCUCCCACCACGAGAGUGGGUAAGGCUCCCGGUAGAUCACCGGGUUGAUAGGCCGGAGGUGGAAGCACGGUAACGUGUGGAGCUGACCGGUACUAAUAGGCCGAGGACUUGACCUC